GUUUGAUCCUGGCUCAGAUUGAACGCUGGCGGCAGGCCUAACACAUGCAAGUCGAGCGGGGAAAGGUAGCUUGCUACCUAACCUAGCGGCGGACGGGUGAGUAAUGCUUAGGAAUCUGCCUAUUAGUGGGGGACAACAUUCCGAAAGGAAUGCUAAUACCGCAUACGCCCUACGGGGGAAAGCAGGGGAUCUUCGGACCUUGUGCUAAUAGAUGAGCCUAAGUCAGAUUAGCUAGUUGGUGGGGUAAAGGCCUACCAAGGCGACGAUCUGUAGCGGGUCUGAGAGGAUGAUCCGCCACACUGGGACUGAGACACGGCCCAGACUCCUACGGGAGGCAGCAGUGGGGAAUAUUGGACAAUGGGCGAAAGCCUGAUCCAGCCAUGCCGCGUGUGUGAAGAAGGCCUUUUGGUUGUAAAGCACUUUAAGCGAGGAGGAGGCUACUUGGAUUAAUACUCUAGGAUAGUGGACGUUACUCGCAGAAUAAGCACCGGCUAACUCUGUGCCAGCAGCCGCGGUAAUACAGAGGGUGCGAGCGUUAAUCGGAUUUACUGGGCGUAAAGCGUGCGUAGGCGGCUUUUUAAGUCGGAUGUGAAAUCCCUGAGCUUAACUUAGGAAUUGCAUUCGAUACUGGGAAGCUAGAGUAUGGGAGAGGAUGGUAGAAUUCCAGGUGUAGCGGUGAAAUGCGUAGAGAUCUGGAGGAAUACCGAUGGCGAAGGCAGCCAUCUGGCCUAAUACUGACGCUGAGGUACGAAAGCAUGGGGAGCAAACAGGAUUAGAUACCCUGGUAGUCCAUGCCGUAAACGAUGUCUACUAGCCGUUGGGGCCUUUGAGGCUUUAGUGGCGCAGCUAACGCGAUAAGUAGACCGCCUGGGGAGUACGGUCGCAAGACUAAA
rnacentral:rRNA from 1 species